UGGCAAAGGGUGGGGCUUAAGGCAAGCUUUACCCUUUGUUAGACUGACAAAAGAAGUGAAGCUUGCCUUAAGCCCCCAACCUUUUGUCACAUUUUUUA